UACGUAGGGUGCAAGCGUUAAUCGGAAUUACUGGGCGUAAAGCGUGCGCAGGCGGUGAUGUAAGACAGUUGUGAAAUCCCCGGGCUUAACCUGGGAAUUGCAUUUGUGACUGUACGGCUAGAGUGUGUCAGAGGGGGGUAGAAUUCCACGUGUAGCAGUGAAAUGCGUAGAGAUGUGGAGGAAUACCGAUGGCGAAGGCAGCCCCCUGGGAUAACACUGACGCUCAUGCACGAAAGCGUGGGGAGCAAACAGG
rnacentral:rRNA from 1 species